rnacentral:rRNA from 1 species
GAUGAACGCUGGCGGCGUGCUUAACACAUGCAAGUCGAACGAACCUUCGGGUUAGUGGCGGACGGGUGAGUAACGCGUGGGAAUCUGCCCUCAGGAGGGGGAUAACGGUUGGAAACGACCGCUAAUACCCCAUAUGCCGAGAGGUGAAAUGAAUUUCGCCUGAGGAUGAGCCCGCGUCUGAUUAGCUUGUUGGUGAGGUAAUGGCUCACCAAGGCAUCGAUCAGUAGCUGGUCUGAGAGGAUGAUCAGCCACACUGGGACUGAGACACGGCCCAGACUCCUACGGGAGGCAGCAGUGGGGAAUUUUCCGCAAUGGACGAAAGUCUGACGGAGCAACGCCGCGUGAGGGACGAAGGCCUCUGGGCUGUAAACCUCUUUUCUCAAGGAAGAAGAUAUGACGGUACUUGAGGAAUAAGCCACGGCUAAUUCCGUGCCGGCAGCCGCGGUAAUACGGGAGUGGCAAGCGUUAUCCGGAAUUAUUGGGCGUAAAGCGUCCGCAGGCGGCCUUUCAAGUCUGCUGUUAAAGCGUGGAGCUUAACUCCAUCAUGGCAGUGGAAACUGAUAGGCUUGAGUAUGGUAGGGGUAGAGGGAAUUCCCGGUGUAGCGGUGAAAUGCGUAGAUAUCGGGAAGAACACCAGUGGCGAAGGCGCUCUGCUGGGCCAUUACUGACGCUCAUGGACGAAAGCCAGGGGAGCGAAAGGGAUUAGAUACCCCUGUAGUCCUGGCCGUAAACGAUGAACACUAGGUGUCGGGGGAAUCGACCCCUUCGGUGUCGUAGCUAACGCGUUAAGUGUUCCGCCUGGGGAGUACGCACGCAAGUGUGAAACUCAAAGGAAUUGACGGGGGCCCGCACAAGCGGUGGAGUAUGUGGUUUAAUUCGAUGCAACGCGAAGAACCUUACCAGGGCUUGACAUCCUGCGAACCUUUAAGAAAUUAGAGGGUGCCUUCGGGAACGCAGUGACAGGUGGUGCAUGGCUGUCGUCAGCUCGUGUCGUGAGAUGUUGGGUUAAGUCCCGCAACGAGCGCAACCCACGUUUUUAGUUGCCAGCAUUUAGUUGGGCACUCUAGAAAGACCGCCGGUGAUAAACCGGAGGAAGGUGUGGAUGACGUCAAGUCAUCAUGCCCCUUACGUCCUGGGCUACACACGUACUACAAUGCUACGGACAAAGGGCAGCAAACUCGCGAGAGCUAGCAAAUCCCAUAAACCGUGGCUCAGUUCAGAUCGUAGGCUGCAACUCGCCUACGUGAAGUAGGAAUCGCUAGUAAUCGCAGGUCAGCAUACUGCGGUGAAUACGUUCCCGGGCCUUGUACACACCGCCCGUC